GGUGUUGUAUACAUAGAUAUAGAUAUAAUCAUUUAUUAUAAUCUCCUUUUUUUUUAAUAUUAAUGUAAAUAAUGUGAUUUAACAGCAUUUGAAGACUUUAAUUAAUUUUUAGUAAUUUUAUUUUAUAAGAGAAAAAGAAGGUAUUUUGGAAUACCUUAUUUUAUAAAUGAAUUUCACCAUGCUUGCUUUUGAUCUCGAGACCCCUCCAUCUCGUGGCUAAAGCUUCAACCACUGAGACCUCGGGGCUGGAUCCGCACAACUGGCAGCUUACAUAUAUAUAUAUAUAUAUAUUUAAACAUAUGUAUAUAUAUAUGUAAACAUGUAUAAAUAUGGUUAACUAAAUUUUACUGUGAAAUUUUUUUAGUGAAAACAAAAACUAUUUAUUAUAAAAAGGUAUUUUAAAAUACCUCAUUUUGACUCUUCUUAUGUUUCUUCUUCUUUCCAUCUUCUUCUUCUGGUACCAACCCUCGAACACGGGACCUUGAGUUAAGUGACAACUCAACCAGCAAAGCACCAUGCGAGGAUUGAUGUCGGUGCUUCCAUUUGUUUAGUAAUAAAGUUGAAAACGGAAAUAAAUUAUUAAUCUGAAUAAGAAUAUCAUAAUU
rnacentral:lncRNA from 1 species